CAGUACCGCGGUAAUACGGAGGGUGUCGAGCGUUAAUCGGAAUUACUGGGCGUAAAGCGUCAUGCAGGUGGUUUGUUAAGUCAGAUGUGAAAGCCCGGGGCUCAACCUCGGAACUGCAUUUGAAACUGGCAGACUAGAGUACUGUAGAGGGGGUAGAAUUUCAGGGUGUAGCGGUGAAAAUGCGUAGAGAUCUGAAGGAAUACCGGUGGCGAAGGCGGCCCCCCUGGACAGAUACUGACACUCAGAUGCGAAAGCGUGGGGAGCAAACAGGAUUAGAUACCCCUGUAG
rnacentral:rRNA from 1 species